CUUUGUCGGAGCAAGAUCGGCCGCAAGAUCGUCGGUUGACAGUUCUUCAGCAGCUCCUUGGUGUCGGACGUGAGCCUGUUUCUGGCAGGGCCUCCCGGUACGGCGAAUGGUUACAAUAGAAACAAAGCCGAGAUGCUUUACGUCGUCGACGGCAGCGGUACCACGAGUGGCUCCGCGGCCUCCGUACUCUCGACGCAGCGCUCGUUCGGGCAUUCUGUUCCUUUGUUUCGACAGCGCGGAUUAGGGAAAUCACGGGGUGCUGUUGUUUCUGGUUCAAGUUUGCCCCUUUAGAGUUUUUUAACAUAAGAUGAUCUUUAUGGGAAGUCCUUCCGGUCAUAAAGGGAAUGGCAUCACUACAUGCCGUCUGAAAGGAUUUUGUGGAGUUUCUAUCGCCAUCAUUUGGGGAAUGUAAUGAACAGGAGAGCUCCAUAUGAAUUUUUUAGUUCUUUGUUCAUUGUAGUGCUGUAAUUUUAUUUCACUUCUAUGAAUUCUAUUUAUUCACACAAACUAUCAUUCAUGUGCAUACAAGUGAA